AGUGAACGCUGGCGGUAGGCCUAACACAUGCAAGUCGAACGGCAGCACAGUAAGAGCUUGCUCUUACGGGUGGCGAGUGGCGGACGGGUGAGGAAUACAUCGGAAUCUACUUUUUCGUGGGGGAUAACGUAGGUAAACUUACGCUAAUACCGCAUACGCCCUACGGUUGAAAGCAGGGGAUCUUCGCACCUUGCGCGAUUGAAUGAGCCGAUGUCGGAUUAGCUAGUUGGCGGGGUAAAGGCCCACCAAGGCGACGAUCCGUAGCUGGUCUGAGAGGAUGAUCAGCCACACUGGAACUGAGACACGGUCCAGACUCCUACGGGAGGCAGCAGUGGGGAAUAUUGGACAAUGGGCGCAAGCCUGAUCCAGCCAUACCGCGUGGGUGAAGAAGGCCUUCGGGUUGUAAAGCCCUUUUGUUGGGAAAGAAAAGCAGCAGGUUAAUACCCCGCUGUUCUGACGGUACCCAAAGAAUAAGCACCGGCUAACUUCGUG
rnacentral:rRNA from 1 species